AUCCUGGCUCAGGACGAACGCUGGCGGCGUGCCUAAUACAUGCAAGUCGAGCGGACAGAUGGGAGCUUGCUCCCUGAUGUCAGCGGCGGACGGGUGAGUAACACGUGGGUAACCUGCCUGUAAGACUGGGAUAACUCCGGGAAACCGGGGCUAAUACCGGAUGCUUGAUUGAACCGCAUGGUUCAAUUAUAAAAGGUGGCUUUUAGCUACCACUUACAGAUGGACCCGCGGCGCAUUAGCUAGUUGGUGAGGUAACGGCUCACCAAGGCAACGAUGCGUAGCCGACCUGAGAGGGUGAUCGGCCACACUGGGACUGAGACACGGCCCAGACUCCUACGGGAGGCAGCAGUAGGGAAUCUUCCGCAAUGGACGAAAGUCUGACGGAGCAACGCCGCGUGAGUGAUGAAGGUUUUCGGAUCGUAAAACUCUGUUGUUAGGGAAGAACAAGUACCGUUCGAAUAGGGCGGUACCUUGACGGUACCUAACCAGA
rnacentral:rRNA from 1 species